rnacentral:rRNA from 1 species
GUGUCAGCAGCCGCGGUAAAACGUAGGAGGCGAGCGUUAUCCGGAGUUACUGGGCGUAAAGCGCGUGUAGGUGGCUUGUUGCGUCUGCUGUGAAAGCUUCCGGCUUAACCGGGACUAUGCGGUAGAUACGGGCAAGCUCGAGGGUGACAGAGGAGCGUAGAAUUCCGGGUGUAGUGGUGAAAUGCGUAGAGAUCCGGAGGAAUACCAGUGGCGCAAGCGGCGCUCUGGGUCGAGCCUGACACUGAGACGCGAAGGCAUGGGGAGCGAACGGGAUUAGAAACCCCGGUAGUCC